GACGGAGGAUGCAAGUGUUAUCCGGAAUCACUGGGCGUAAAGCGUCUGUAGGUGGUUCGAAAAGUCCACUGUUAAAAAUUGAGGCUUAACUUCAAAGAUGCCGUGGAAACUUUCAAACUAGAGUAUGGUAGGGGUAGAGGGAAUUUCCAGUGGAGCGGUGAAAUGCGUAGAUAUCGGAAAGAACACCAACGGCGAAAGCACUCUGCUGGGCCGACACUGACACUGAGAGACGAAAGCUAGGGGAGCGAAUGGG
rnacentral:rRNA from 1 species